AAACCUCACACCCAUCAUCAUUAACACCGCCUAUCGCCACACAGUGUACAUUUUUGCGAUAAGACGGUGUUAAUGGUGAUAGGCGUGAGGUGU
rnacentral:pre_miRNA from 1 species